rnacentral:rRNA from 1 species
UACGAGAGGCCCAAACGUUAUUCGGAUUUACUGGGCUUAAAGAGUUCGUAGGCGGUUCGGUAAGUGAGGUGUGAAAUCCCUUGGCUCAACCAAGGAAUUGCGCUUCAAACUGCCGGGCUCGAGGGAGAUAGAGGUGAGCGGAACUGAUGGUGGAGCGGUGAAAUGCGUUGAUAUCAUCAGGAACACCAGAGGCGAAGGCGGCUCACUGGGUCUCUUCUGACGCUGAGGAACGAAAGCUAGGGGAGCAAACGGGAUUAGAAACCCCCGUAGUCC